rnacentral:other from 1 species
AAUGCCCUACUGUGUUCGUGAAGUAGCCGUUUAGUUUUGAGCCAACACCAAAACUAGAGGAGCCUGGUCUCUGGUAGUGGCUGAUAAGCCCCCGCCGAGGGGACAUCAAAAGCUAUCAGGCGGGCACCAACCUGCUGAGAGCAGGUUCAAAACAUCGGCCCCCACGGCAUCGGUGGGGUUUUC